rnacentral:rRNA from 1 species
CCUACGUGUGGCAGCAGUGAGGAAUAUUGGUCAAUGGACGCGAGCCUGAACCAGCCAAGUAGCGUGAAGGAUGACUGCCCUACGGGUUGUAAACUUCUUUUAUAAAGGAAUACAGUGAGGCACGUGUGCCUUUUUGUCUGUAAUUUAUGAUUAAGGAUCGGCUAACUCCGGGCCAGCAGCCGCGGUAAUACGGAGGAUCCGAGCGUUAUCCGUAUUUAUUGGGGUUAAAGGGAGGGGAGAUGGGUUGUUAAGGCAGUUGUGAAAGUUUGCGGGUGAAGCGUAAGAUUGCAAUUGAUACUGGCAGACUUGAGUACAGUUGGGGUAGGCGGAAUUCGUGGUGUAGCGGUGAAAUGCUGAGAUAUCACGAAGAACUCCGAUGGCGAAGGCAGCUUACUAACCUGCCACUGACAUUGAGGCUCGAAAGUGUGGGUAGCAAACAGGAUUAGAUACCCUAGUAGUC